rnacentral:pre_miRNA from 1 species
AAAAAAGCAAACCCUAGAUUUCCGUGUCCAACUUUGACUGUCCGUCUUAUAUGAAAUUUUUUUAUAAUUCGUAUUUUUAUUGUUGUUAGAUGAUAAAACAUGAUUAAUAUUUUAUGCGUGACUUGUCUUUUUAAUUUUUUUUAUAAUUUUUUCAAAUAAGACGGACGGUCAAACGUUGGGCACGGAAACCAGAGUUUGUCUUUUUU